rnacentral:rRNA from 1 species
GAUGAACGCUGGCGGCGUGCCUAAUACAUGCAAGUCGAACGAGAUCUUCGGGUCUAGUGGCGCACGGGUGCGUAACGCGUGGGAAUCUGCCCUUUGGUUCGGAAUAACAGUUGGAAACGACUGCUAAUACCGGAUGAUGACGAAAGUCCAAAGAUUUAUCGCCAGAGGAGGAGCCCGCGUAGGAUUAGCUAGUUGGUGUGGUAAAGGCGCACCAAGGCGACGAUCCUUAGCUGGUCUGAGAGGAUGAUCAGCCACACUGGGACUGAGACACGGCCCAGACUCCUACGGGAGGCAGCAGUGGGGAAUAUUGGACAAUGGGCGAAAGCCUGAUCCAGCAAUGCCGCGUGAGUGAUGAAGGCCUUAGGGUUGUAAAGCUCUUUUACCCGGGAUGAUAAUGACAGUACCGGGAGAAUAAGCUCCGGCUAACUCCGUGCCAGCCGCCGCUGUAA